UGGAGUCUCGCCAGUUAACGCGGGGCCGUGAAGACAGGGCAGGACAGCAAUAGAUUAUCGACUGGUUUGAAUAAGUUAACGGUACUUGAACGUAGCCAGCCUCGGACCCUGAGAUUGGCAGCGGCUCAGGGAGAAACUGAGGCUGUUAUUUCUGAGAGCCGUGAAGGAUGGAUGAGGCAGCGGUGGCUGGGGAAGGGCAGAUACGUCGCCCCUUUGAAAAGGGAAAAGAAACCUAUAGCUUUGGAAAUGAGUUCACCGCUAUUGCUAGAGCAAUAUUACAACCAACUGAAACGCUUACAAGCAUCGAGGUUGUAACAACAUAAAGAGGAGUAGCCAGCGUGGGUUUUAGUAAAACCAUGGUAAACCCAAGCAGAUUCUUUUUCUAUAGAGGGGCAACGCUACGUGCAUGAGACGAAAACCAGUGGAUACAAGGUUCUUGAUGGUAACCCACAUAACGUUCUCUAAAGCCGGUUAGGAACGCGUUCUGAAAAAGCUUAAAAUGAUGCGAGGUGAGCGUGCGACUCGCUGGAAUGUCACACUCUAAAAGCAGUUACUAACAAUUCAGUGCUUGAUCACAAGGAUAUAUUGAGUGGGGUUUUGCAAGAUUUUUGUCUUGCAUCAAAUUCUAAUAACAUUUUAAUUGCUGGUUUGGUUGAUUGACUAACUUAACGACAGUGCUGCUUAUUCUCUUGGUAGCCGACAGAAAAUUUGGAGGGGCCACAGACCAUCAGAGGACGGGAUUAGUAUACAAAGUAAUCUCAAAUUGGAGAACGUUUGAAAAAAUUCUCGAUGUAUUUAAUCAAGCAUAUAUGCUAAGUCCCUUUUCUUGGUAAGGAUAAUCAUCUUGUAAAAUACAGGGAGAAUGUCUGGCUAAGCUGCAGGUCCACAUGAUCUAGACCGUAUUGCACUUUGAGACUUAGACCAUACCUUAGAUGCUACUGUUAGAACAUGAAUCAGCAAAAUCGGGUGUUGCAAAAGAAAAAAAUCAUACAAGAUGCCUGAACAAAGCGUCAUGUGUCAAACAUACAACGUAAUCUUUUUUUCCUUGUAGUAUUGCAAACACAUGUGGGCAUCACAUUGUAUGUUUAAAAAGAAAAAGUGGAUGAAUGGAACAGAAUGACUUACUAGGAAAGACCUUAGUCUACAAAAGAGAAACCCAAGGGGAAAACCUGCAGAGAGAAGUAGGCUCUUCUGUUGUGUGCGACAUAAAGAGAAGAAAUAAUAGGCUUAUUUGUAGAAAGGGAAGCUUUAGAUUAAAGAAGAGGAAAUCUUUCCAGUUGUAAAGGCGUUUGAGCCAUGGACGAGGUUAGUGGGAAAUCGGUAGAAUCUCACUUCUCUGAGAUGCUCAUGUUAGGUACCUGAAAAUCCUGAGCACCAAGCGAGAGGACUAGAGACCCUUUCAGCCUUGUGGUCUGUGAAGAGCGUUUAUCUAAAGGAUCAAGUAUGCGUCAGCUCUGCUGAAUUCUGGGGGCAGUUCAGGCAGAGGUGUUCAACAACUGGCUCUCACGUAGGAUUUGUCAGCAGUCUCAUUACUUUUCUUGGAAUAAGUGUGGGAUAAAUUAUAGAAACUUAUUGAAGAAUCCUUAAAGGAAAACUGCAAAAAUAAUAACAUAUUGUGGAAGGAUUUUAAAAAAUACUUUAAAGGUAAAAAAUAACCUUUGUAAUGCUCUAUUGAACCCUAGUUUUAUUGUUAGACAACGCUCAUGUGCUAGGUUUCUGGUCUCAGUGGCAGCACGUUAAUGCAUGCUUUUAGUGCAAAUAUCUGUCAUUCAGAAGGCAGAAUAAAAUUACGGUGUGGGAAAUGAUAUUUCUUUAAUUUCAGAAAGAUGCACACAGAGUUAAAGCUCUGUGUUCUGGUACAGCAAAAAAACUUUUUCACUGUUCUGAAAGGUUUUGCAUAGUUAACAGUAUGCAGCCAUCCUGCUUCUGUUUAGUGUGUUAGGUUUUAUUGUUGUUAGAACAUUAUGUUUGUUUCUAGCUGCUUGUCAGUUGUUUCUGAAUUUUCUUGAGAGGAGAUGUUAACAAACACUGUUGUUCUUUUCUUUAGGCAGAUCUGGCAUUUAAACAAAAGCAGAAGGAGGAGCAAAAGAAACUUGAGGAGAUGAAAGCAAAAGCUGCUGGAAAAGGGCCCCUCACUAGUGGUGGAAUCAAGAAGUCUGGCAAAAAAUAGUUUGAUCAAGCUGCUGGAAAAAGGGAUCGAGUUAUUCAAUGGAUCUGCUGGCUUCAGAGAGUCAAGAAAACUCACUGUCAUUUGAGAAACCUUGUACAUUUUGUUUAGGUGGAAUAAAUCUUUUUUGUUAAGAUGUCA